AUCAUUACCGAGUGCAGGUCUGCCCCCGGGCAGGCCUAACCUCCCACCCGUGAAUACCUGACCAACGUUGCUUCGGCGGUGCGCCCCCCCGGGGGUAGCCGCCGGAGACCACAUUGAACCUCUUGUCUUUAGUGUUGUCUGAGCUUGAUAGCAAACCUAUUAAAACUUUCAACAAUGGAUCUCUUGGUUCCGGCAUCGAUGAAGAACGCAGCGAACUGCGAUAAGUAAUGUGAAUUGCAGAAUUCAGUGAAUCAUCGAGUCUUUGAACGCACAUUGCGCCCCCUGGCAUUCCGGGGGGCAUGCCUGUCCGAGCGUCAUUGCUGCCCUUCAAGCCCGGCUUGUGUGUUGGGUCGUCGUCCCCCCCGGGGGACGGGCCCGAAAGGCAGCGGCGGCACCGCGUCCGGUCCUCGAGCGUAUGGGGCUUUGUCACCCGCUCGAUUAGGGCCGGCCGGGCGCCAGCCGGCGUCUCCAACCUUCUAUUUUACCAGGUUGACCUCGGAUCAGGUAGGGAUACCCGCUGAACUUAAGCAUAUCAAUA
rnacentral:misc_RNA from 1 species